rnacentral:misc_RNA from 1 species
UCGCGUCUUACGACGGCAGUUUCUUCAGAGUUCCCACCAUUACGUGCUGGCAACUGAAGAUAGGGGUUGCGCUCGUUGCGCCACUUAAGGCAACACCUCACGGCACGAGCUGACGACAGCCAUGCACCACCUGUGCGGGCCCCGAAGGACACCGUAUUUCUACGGCUUUUCCCUAAAUGUCAAACCCAGGUAAGGUUCUUCGCGUUGCAUCGAAUUAAUCCACAUGCUCCGCCGCUUGUGCGGGCCCCCGUCAAUUUCUUUGAGUUUUAGCCUUGCGGCCGUACUCCCCAGGCGGGGUACUUAAUGCGUUAGCUACGGCACGGAUCCCAAGGAAGGAAACCCACACCUAGUACCCACCGUUUACGGCGUGGACUAC